UCAAUAAGCAAGCUAAGACUGAAGAAGUUAGCCCCUGCUUGUUCAAAGGUAGAGAAUGUGACAAAAGAAAAAGAGAGCGUAACUCAAGAGUUAUUUCAGGUGAAGAAAAAAUUAGAUAAUAUGACUGAAGAUAUAGUUGAGAUGAAGAAAACAUUGGUGGAUAUGCAGAAAGAGAGACAGUAUACUCAAAAUCUCUCAUCACCAACAGUCGCUAAAUCUACUCAGGCAUCGUUGCCGGAUAUUAUAUAUAUCGGUAAGAGAUGCGACUUCCUUGGUUUUGGAAAAUGUGGUGUAGUUGCUCGUGGUGAAGUACACGAAGUUAAUCCAAAUGCAACUGUCCAUUGCUAACCGUUGGAUGAUGGAGCUUUUGUUGUUAUCCUCACUGAGGUUAUACAACCUCAAGCUCCUUUGUGGAAAGAAGAUGGGUUCACAUCUACACUUGGAGAGGCCGGUCCGGGAUCAUUUGUGCAAUGGGGGAAAGAGGCUUUGAGAAUUCAAUAAUUUGAACAAAUUUGGUACUCUAUAAUUGAACAUGUGUAGUGUGCAUUUUGAACUAAUUUUGAACGUGUAGUGUGCAUUUUGAACUAAUUUUGAACUAAUUUGGCACUUUUUAAAAAAAAUAAUGAAUGAAUUUUGUACUCUAUAUUUGAACGUA